rnacentral:rRNA from 1 species
CCUACGGGGUGCAGCAGUGGGGAAUAUUGGACAAUGGGCGAAAGCCUGAUCCAGCCAUGCCGCGUGUGUGAAGAAGGCCUUCGGGUUGUAAAGCUCUUUCAGUGGGGAAGAAAGCCUUGGGGCUAAUACCCUCGAGGAAGGACAUCACCCACAGAAGAAGCACCGGCUAACUCCGUGCCAGCAGCCGCGGUAAUACGGAGGGUGCGAGCGUUAAUCGGAAUUACUGGGCGUAAAGCGCGCGUAGGCGGUCUGAUAAGCCGGUUGUGAAAGCCCCGGGCUCAACCUGGGAACGGCAUCCGGAACUGUCAGGCUAGAGUGCAGGAGAGGAAGGUAGAAUUCCCGGUGUAGCGGUGAAAUGCGUAGAGAUCGGGAGGAAUACCAGUGGCGAAGGCGGCCUUCUGGACUGACACUGACGCUGAGGUGCGAAAGCGUGGGUAGCAAACAGGAUUAGAUACCCUAGUAGUC